UUUGAGUUUUAUUAUGAAAAUGGCUUGACGUUGGAUCAAGCAUUGAUGGACGUUUAAGAGAGUUUUGAAUGAAUAUUCGAGAGAAAAAGAAUAGAUAGAUUUGGAUGAUGGCGAGAGUUAAGAUAGGAAAGACAUCCAUCUCGAACCCUAGCCUCAGGAGUGCGUGGUAUCCACCACGUUCCAUUUCCAUCUUUAUUGAAAAGGUCUUUAAAUAUGAAUUAAGUUUUUUUUUUGUUUUUAUUGUGAAAAAGGGCUUGACGUUGUAUCAAGC
rnacentral:lncRNA from 1 species